GGUGAGGCUUAUAUUGCAGUACGCACGAGUCAGUAAUUUCCGGUAAGUAUUUUAAAGCCAUAUACUUAAUUAGUUAUUUGUAUGAAUUUUUCCUCUAGGUGAUCCAGAGAGGCUUGACCUUUGGGUGAGCAACCAAAGAAGAGAGUGCUGGACUCCCAAUUCAUUCUCCCACUUGUGCAGUGAACACUUUGAGAGUCAUCACUUCACCACGGACUCCAGGGGGAGAGUUUGCCUGAAGGACACAGCCGUACCUACAAUCUUCUCGUCCUUUAAGGUCAAAAAACCUGUUCCAAGAAGGGAAGAACAGGUAAAUAGGAAUGACAAGGUGGAAAUGCUGUGUGAUUCCUGUGCCAUGUGGCCCAUGACCUGUGUCAGCCGGUUCUGGAUGUGGCAUAGCUGAGUUCUCUGUAGCAAGGAUUUCUGGUGCUUGUGGCCGUUCCAGAGUGCACCUGGUCCAGUCUAACACUUCACAUCCCAGCACACGCACGAACACAUGCUUGUUGAUGUUUGUUGUUCAUGAUGUUUGUGGUUCAUGGUUUACAUGUUUAUAGUUGUUCAUCCCACGUUUUCUUGAUGACUCUUAGAAAUGUUUCUUCACAGGUGCAGCUGCUGGUUGCUGUUUUUUAUGUUGGUUUCCUAGUUGUAUUAAUUUUUCUCUUAUUUACUUGUUUAUCCUCUAUCAGCAGUCUUUAUUCCAGAUUGGUUCAGCAUUUAUAUGCUGAUGUGGCGAUACAUAACCCAAACCAAUAUUACUCAAGGGGAACCUUGUACACAUUAAGGCUCCUUGUCAUGAGCCGGGGUGAGUACUCCUGUUCUCUUAACCAUCUGUGAGUCUCUUGCCAGGAGAGGGAGUGGCCCAGCUAUUCCUGAUCAGCAAUCAGCGGGGUGCUUUCCUAUUUAAGGUGGAUAGUGGACACAAUUCGACGCCGGAAGAUUGCCUCAGUUUUGGAUUCCUGUCGACCUCACUGGAUACUGACCUCUACUCCAGGAUUCGGAUAUUCAGCACACGGACCAGGAUUUGGAUAUUCAGCACACGGACCAUAUCACCACCCUCCAUAACCCACCUCUCAUCUCACCCAGUGCCCCUUCCACCAGGACGCCCCGCUUCUCUCCGCCUCUGCUCCCUCUCCUGCGCUUCCCCUGGCUCUCUACCUCUCCCUCCUCCAGCCAACACAUACACCCACCACAACGCUGAGCUGUUGUUGCAGUUCCAACCACAAACUUAUCUGUGCACCUUAAGUUCCUCCUUACAAAUAAAUCAUUUUUUCCAUCA